rnacentral:rRNA from 1 species
GACGAACGCUGGCGGCGUGCUUAACACAUGCAAGUCGAACGGAAAGGCCCUGCUUUUGUGGGGUGCUCGAGUGGCGAACGGGUGAGUAACACGUGAGUAACCUGCCCUUGACUUUGGGAUAACUUCAGGAAACUGGGGCUAAUACCGGAUAGGAGCUCCUGCUGCAUGGUGGGGGUUGGAAAGUUUCGGCGGUUGGGGAUGGACUCGCGGCUUAUCAGCUUGUUGGUGGGGUAGUGGCUUACCAAGGCUUUGACGGGUAGCCGGCCUGAGAGGGUGACCGGCCACAUCGGGACUGAGAUACGGCCCAGACUCCUACGGGAGGCAGAAGUGGGGAAUAUUGCACAAUGGGCGGAAGCCUGAUGCAGCAACGCCGCGUGCGGGAUGACGGCCUUCGGGUUGUAAACCGCUUUCGCCUGUGACGAAGCGUGAGUGACGGUAAUGGGUAAAGAAGCACCGGCUAACUACGUG